rnacentral:tRNA from 7 species
GGACGCGUAGCUCAAUUGGAUAGAGCAUCAGAUUACGGCUCUGAAGGUUAGGGGUUCGACUCCCUUCGCGUUCACCA